CAGUGUCUGCUGUUUCCCUUUGUGUCCAUGAGUUCUCAUCAUUUAGCUCCCACUUAUAAGUGAGACUGGGUGACUGCUGACCUGCAUCUCUCUUGGGUGGACCUCCCAAGACAUAAGCAAAAGACCCUUGACCACAACCACUACCAAGGUCCCUUUCUCCUCUGCCUCCAAGUUGGGGAGGAAACAUAAGCCCUAAGAUCACCCCAGAGCUGUGGUGGGAAGCCCAGGAGAGAUAAAACCUGAGUAGUUUUAAACUAGAAUAUGCAUGUAGCUUUUUAAAGAUGUUUGCAAUAUUUUUGCUAUUCUCCCCUUGAGAUUUUGGGGUCUAUGCCCACCCUUACCAGACUGGACACUAGUGCUCACUUGUCACUGACACAUUACAUGAAAGUGAUGCUGUGUAACUUUCAAAGUUAUGUUUAAAAAGGCCUGGUUCACUCAGGUCACUCACCUGUGUGCCCUUGACCACCAAGUCAAAGCUCUGAAUGUCCUAAGACUGUUCUGCUACCUGGAAGCCCAGGGUACCUGGGAGGUCUCCUAUAGGCCCUGCAGCCAAAGUCCCAUGUCCUCUGCAGACAUGUGAGUGAAGUCACUUCCAGAUGAUGCCAACCCUUUGCUAUGGAUUCAACUCUAGCCAAUGAGUCUUCUCUGCAGUCCCCAAACACCAAUGAGCAGCAAUAAGCCAUCUUUUCUGUGCCUUCCUAGCCCUGUGAACCAUGAACAAAAUAAAGUGGUUGUUUUAUGCGUUAUUUGGUGCUGGUGGUUCUUUCUUAAAAAAAAAAAAUCACAGUAAAAGCACCAAGAAUAACACACUUGUAAGACAUUCAAAAGGUACAAAGUAACAUACACUGAAAUCUAGGUUUCCUUCUUUCCCUCUUCCACAACCUAUCAGGUUCUGCUUCUGGAAGUAACAAUGGUUAAGUUUCUGCACAUCUUUCCAGAUUUGUUAAUUAAACAAUCAUAUAGCACUGACACAGUGAGGAAGCUUUUUAAAGGCUUUACUUACAUUUAUUCAUUUACUCUUCAUUCACUGUGGACACUCAGGUGGCAGGAGGAAGGAAAGUAUUUUGCUCAACCAAAUGAAAGUCUGAUCUGCUCUUUGAAUGCUGUUCCCUCAAUCAUAUGGUUCUAUUUUCUUGAUAUAUUCCCAAAUCUUUAUUAUUUUCUCCCUAAUUGAGCAUUCAGAGAUGUAAUGCUGUUUUCUAGUUUUUCUUCCGUUUCACCACUAAAUCUUAAAUUUCAUAUGAGACAGGCAGUGAUGAAAUUCCUGAGUCACUGGACAUAUGUAUAUGUAUGUUUGUGAUGGUAACACACACACACACACACACACAUAUUUUUCUAUCUAGUUAUUAACCAUUAACAUUCUAUACUCAGAGUGAGGAAAUAUUACACGUUCCUUCCCAAACUCUGUCAACUACCCCCUCACUUAAAUAAUCCCUGAAAAAAUGGCAACAUCCAUAUUAAUGCAGUUUUUAUCUCAUCAAUGACCCAUUUGAUAAAAUAGUUCUAGAAACUUGUAAUGCAUCAGCAAUGAUGGAAAUUUGUACUGAACCAUUUCAUAUCUAAAAGGGUAUCUACUUUGUUUUAGACAUGACAACUCUGUCAUGUUUAUUUUAGAAUUUUCCAUUGCUGCAUGUUUAAAGGGCUUGUCAAUUCCCCUCCCUUUCCUAAUUUUCAUGACCAGAUCAUAAGAAUGUGUGUGAUCAGGCUGACUGAUGUGCCACAACACAUAUUUAAUCCUGGAAUUUAGGGUUAUCAGAAGUCUCCAUUUAAAAAAGAAUUAAUUAUAUGUUUUCAAACAGCCGGCUGGUGAAUAUAUAGUGCUUCAUUUUUCUUAAUGUCUCAGUGAAUAGCCAGCCUUUUAUGUAUACAUUAAUAGAGGAUCUCUCAAAAAAUUCAGAGAUUCAGAAAUAAGUACAUAAACUUAAUUGCAUAGAGAGAAAAAACAGGUACUAUACAUAAGUGAUAGAAGAAGGUUUUAUAUAAUUAUUUUUUAAAACUAAAUUUAUAAUAAUGCUUUUUAAACUAAAUCUGGAACAAAUUUUAAAUUAUUUAAUCUAGAAAUGUCCAGUGAUUCAGGAACAGUAGAAAUGGGUGGGGAGGGCAUUUCAACUCAAGCAUGGAACUCCUUUUAUUCUCAACAUGUUAGCUUUUUCUCUCUUCACUCUGAAAUGUUCACUAUCAAAUAUAUUUGAGAGACAGGUCUUUUUUCCUCAUUUAACAUUUAUUUCAUACACAGAGAAUAAUACUGUGGGUCUGGGAUUCAGUUUUUGAAAUGCAACGUAUAAUCUAAGUGACCAUUUACCCAUGUCAAAGUAGCAGCAGUUGGACCCCAUAAUGUGGCAUGUAUUCACUAGAAAAUUCUACAGUGACCUAUCACUGUGAUCAUGUGAUGAACCAUAUCUUGCCUUCCAUUCUAAUCAUCACUCUGUGAGCUUCGAGAUUCAAGGUUGACAGCAUUUGUCAAUUUCAAAAUGUCAUACAAAGAGUGCUCAAAUAUGGGGAAUUUUGUGUACUGUUGCUGAGACAUGUUCACUUUCACCUUCUGAUUGUGGUUUCUUCAAAUAGGCCAAUUCACUUGUACUCAAAAUGUCUUCCUCAUUUUUUUGUUUCUCCCGCUCCAAUUUGUCUAUGGAUUUAUGAGCAUGUGUUAUAGUAUUAUUACUGAUUUGUACUUUUGAUUCUUCCACCAAGCUUUUUGUCUUAAAUAUUUUCCUAUUUUUAGAAAAAUGUAGUGUUUCUCCACACCACUUUUGUACCCAAUCUUUCAUAGAAUAGAUACAGAAAAAACACAACCACACUGCCUUCAUCAGAUGAAGAGAAUCUUGAUACCAAAUACAAUAUGAGACAUUCCAUGAAAGGGAAAUUAUAGACCAAAGUCUUCUGAGUAUAAAUGUCAAAAUCUGAAACCAAAUAUUAGAGUGGCCUAAAUCUGGAGAUUUUUAGGAAAAAAACUGAAAUUUCAUGGUGGGAAACAUAAUUUUGCCUAGUUUAGAAGUUUUGAGGGGUUGUUUUAAAGAAAAAUUUAAAAGAUAAAUAAUAUUAAAUGAAUAUAAAGAGUUAUAAAAUAAAAAUAUUAUAAAAGGUUAUCAAAAUGUUUAUGAAAUUAUUUUGCAGUCAAGAUUGAUUGGGAUUAGAUUUGUUUAUAAGGUCUUAUUAAAAUUAGCCAUAAUAUUAAAAAUACAUUAAUACCCAACUAAAUUUAAAAAAAAAAAUAAGCUUAAGAUUUGUUCUCCAUCAAACUUGACAAAAAGUGUAUGUAUUCCCGUGUGCCAGAGUGCCAGGUCACCACAUAACAAUUAUGUUGGGUUUGCAUAUUUGAUGAUGUGUCGCUACCAGGAUGCCAUCUGGGUCUUCGCCAACAUCCUCCUCUAGAUCCAGAGGACCAAGAGCAUGUUCCAGAGGACCACAUACAAGUAUGAGAUGAUUAACAAGCAGAAUGAGCAGACGCAUGCGCUACUGGCCAUUGCUCUCACGAUGUACCCCAUAGGUAUCGAUGAAAGUAUUCACCCCCAGCUACAGAAGAAAUAUGGGGACAAGAUGCUGCACAUGCAGAAAGGUGACCCACAAGUCUAUGAAGAACUUUUCAGUUACUCCUGCCCCAAGUUCCUGUCGCCUGUAUUGCCCAACUACGAUAAUGUGCACCCCAACUACCACAAAGAGUCCUUCCUGCAGCAGUUGAAGGUGUUUUCUGAAGUACAGCAGCAGGCCCACCUUUCAACCAUCCCCGGCUUCCUCAAGCUUUACAUCACCAUGCCUGUGGCCAAGCUGGCUGGCUUCCUGGACCUCACAGAGCAGGAGUUCAGGAUCCAGCUUCCUGUCUUCAAACACAAGAUGAAGAACUUGGUGUGGACCAGCGGCAUCACAACCCUGGAUGGUGAAUUUAGUCAGCCUCAGAGGUUAACUUCUACAUUGAUAAUGACAUGACCCACAUCGCAGACACCAAGGUCGCCAGGUGCUAUGGGGAUUUCUUAAUCCAUCAGAGCCACAAAUUCGAAGAGCUUAAUCGAACUCUGAAGAAGAUGGGACAGAGACCCUGACAACAUUUACACACAUUAUUUAGGAACCGGUUUUGAUAUAUUAUAGGCAGGAAGUGUUUUUGCUACCAUGAAACCUUUACCUAGAUCAGCCAUCAGCCUGUCAACUCAGUUAACAAAUUAAGGACCAAAGUGUUUCAAGUGGAUAUCAGUAAAGGAUCUUUGGAGCCAGGAAAAAAAAAAAAAAAAA